CUCAAAAAAACAAAAAACAAAAACAAAGCCCACCCCUGCACCCCACGUUCUCCUCGAUUCCCAGCCGCUCCCAUCCCCGUCGCCGUGCGCCUCCCAGCGCGCCGCCACCGACCCGCACCUCCUCUCCUCCUAGCGUGCCACCACCGGCCCAUACCUCUCCCCUCCCAGCGUGCCGCCGCCGAACCGCACCUCCUCCCCUCCGAACGCGCCACCGCUGAACCACACCUCCCCCUCCCAGCGCGCUGCCUCCGGCCCGCACCUGCCCCCGGUCCUCCGGUGAUGCACCGGCUGUCCCCACCCUGAACCCCGCCUCUCCCGUCGCGCCGCCACGCAACCCCUGGAUCCGGCCGACGUCCCGCCUCCUGCCCCCGGAUCCGUCCAAGACAGAUCCCACCGCCGCCUGCCACCACCAAGAACCGGCACGCUACCAAGCGCCGGCACGCGACCCCGCCGCCGACCUCAGAUAUAUGGUUGGUGAUUUGUCACUUGUUAAAUUACAUGAUGAGAUGACAUGAGCUAUGGAAAGGAGCGAGCAGGACACAAUAAAGAUGAUGUCCUGACUUCAUUUUUGGGACGGUUCGAAAUGUGUUUGGGUCAAUUUCUUCUGUGUUUUCUCAGUCACUAUAUUGUUCUUGCUCAUUUUGUUGAAAGAUGGUCUUGUGUUCUGUGAAGAUGUGAACAAAAAUAUGUAUUCACAACAAAGAACACGAAGAUGUUGUGGUGAUGUAAAGUCCGGCCUAGCAUCUGUAGUUUUCCAGAUUGCUAUGAAUAUUUUGGUAAUCUUAACUGUGGCUUUGAUGCAAUUUAUUUCUGUAGAUGUAUAAAACCUGUCAAUUCAUGGUGAACAAAAACAUGUUGCUGCAUGUGGAGUGUUCCUGA